rnacentral:tRNA from 1 species
GCGCCGUAGCGCAGGAAGGACAGCACGUCGGCCUCGAAGGCCGGCAGGCCGGCGAUCCAGUACACCGCCGGGGCC